GCACUGCUGAGCAGUCUAACAAUAGGACAAAACGGCCGUCCAGUGC
rfam:Schistosoma haematobium scaffold509_32, whole genome shotgun sequence.